CCAUCCCAGUAAGCAAGCCAACCACUAGAAUUUGACUGGCAUGCACCUGUGACUUACAUAAACCAGACCUCUACAUAGCCUACAUGUCUUCAUUUUGCUGGAGACUGCCCAUCAUCCUAGCCUGUUAUCUGUGAUAAAGCACACUGAAGUUAGGUUUGGAAUGCAUCCUUAUCAUGAAUGCUCUACACCUCCACCUCCAUCUCCCACAACCUAGGUAACAGCUUUGAGACUCACUAAAAGUUGAACCCCCUGAAUGAUGUAGGCUAUGGGGCCACAUAAGACUUUGUCCAUCCAGGGUUACGAUGAAUGUAAAAUAUAAACUAAAGAACCCCCUGAAUGAUGUAGGCUAUGGGGCCACAUAAGACUUUGUCCAUCCAGGGUUACAUAGCAGGACAACUUUAAACUAAAAAGCUACCAGACUGGGAUUUUAGUGUACUCCAGGAUCUAACAAAGUGUGCAAUGCAUGUGUAUACGUAUAGUGACAGUGUUUAGUGUAUACCCUAAGGAUUAAGUGUAGUGUACAUUGUGCUUUUUAGUGUCACAAGAGUUUAAUAAAGAAUUAUACCUUCAAGAACCAUCCUUUGCCAUUGGAAUAACCACACUACACAUCAUGCAAUCUACUUGCAUGUCACACAGGUAAGGUCUCUAACUUUUUCUUAGUUUAAGGCAUAUUUCCAAGUGUCGUUCCGGCUUACGACGAUUUUCGGCUUACGACGCGCCUCAAGAACGGAACCCCCGUCGUAACCCGGGGACUGCCUGUAUAUA